rnacentral:pre_miRNA from 1 species
CAACUACUCCCUCUGUCCCAAAUUUCUUGUCUUAGAUUUGUCUAGAUACGGAUGUAUCUAGAUACAUCCGUAUCUAGACAAAUCUAAGACAAGAAUUUUGGGACGGAGGGAGUACUUU